rnacentral:rRNA from 1 species
UAAGACGGAGGAGGCUAGCGUUGUUCGGAAUUACUGGGCGUAAAGCGCGCGCAGGCGGCUUAGCAAGUCAGGGGUGAAAGCCCGGGGCUCAACCUCGGAACUGCCUUUGAGACUGCUAGGCUCGAGACCGAGAGAGGAGAGUGGAAUUCCCAGUGUAGAGGUGAAAUUCGUAGAUAUUGGGAAGAACACCAGUGGCGAAGGCGGCUCUCUGGCUCGGUACUGACGCUGAGGCGCGAAAGCGUGGGGAGCAAACAGGAUUAGAUACCCUGGUAGUCCACGCUGUAAACGAUGAGUGCUAGACGUUGGGGGGCUUGCCCUUCGGUGUCGCAGCUAACGCUUUAAGCACUCCGCCUGGGGAGUACGGCCGCAAGGUUA